rnacentral:rRNA from 1 species
AUUGAACGCUGGCGGCAUGCCUUAUACAUGCAAGUCGAACGGCCGCGCGGGCAUCGUCCUCGCGGCGCGUUGCGAACGGGCGAGUAAUGCACACGAAGGUGACCAGCCGUGGGGGCUAGGCUGGCGAAAGCAGGCCUAAUCUCAUACCCGACCUGAGCGUGAACCCCGGGGUUCGAAAGGGCUCGCCGUAUUGGAUCGGCCGAAUAGGGGUUUCGGUGCCGGAUUAGCUAGUUGGUAAGGUAACGGCUUACCAAGGCGACGAUGCGUAGCCGACCUGAGAGGACGAUCAGCCACACUGGGACUGAGACACGGCCCAGACUCCUACGGGAGGCAGCAGUAGGGAAUUUUGGACAAUGGGGGCAACCCUGAUCCAGCCAUGCCGCGUGCGGGAAGAAGGCCUUCGGAUUGUAAAACGCUUUUGUUCGGGAAGAAAUCCUCUGGGCGAAUACCCCGAGGGGAUGACGGUACCGGAAGAGUAAGCACCGGCUAACUACGUG